GAUGAAGAACGUAGCGAAAUGCGAUACGUAAUGUGAAUUGCAGAAUUCAGUGAAUCAUCGAGUCUUUGAACGCACAUUGCGCCCCCUGGUAUUCCGGGGGGCAUGCCUGUCCGAGCGUCAUUGCUGCCCUCAAGCACGGCUUGUGUGUUGGGCCUCCGUCCUCCUCCCGGGGGACGGGCCCGAAAGGCAGCGGCGGCACCGCGUCCGGUCCUCGAGCGUAUGGGGCUUCGUCACCCGCUCUUGUAGGCCCGGCCGGCGCUUGCCGACACAUCAAUCUUUUUUCCAGGUUGACCUCGGAUCAGGUACGGAUACCCGCUGAACUUAAGCAUAUCAAUAAGCGGAGGA
rnacentral:misc_RNA from 1 species